CCAGAUUCUUCAGCUCGCGCACCCCAAAUCCACACCUCACAAACCACGCAGCGGAGGCGACCCACAAAAAACACGCGCGGCAGGAGGAGGGAGGAGGAGGAGGAGCACCGCCCCCCCUUCCCUUGUGCGCGUUGCGUUCGUCCUCCUCGUCCUCUUAAUCCCGCGGUUUCCCCAGGGCAAUCCCGCCAGCUCCGACGCCGAAUUCGUGCUCCGGAGGUCCGAUUGCCCCCCGCCCCGCUGCGGCCGCGUCCGGAGCUCGAGCCGAUUAGCGGGCUGCUUUGCUUGAUUCGGUUCGUGCCCCGCGGAGCUUCGAGCUGUCGGGAUUGAAUUGAGGCCUCCGGGGUUGGAGCUGGAGCCGGGGAUUGAGUGCUUUCCUGCUCCGGGUUGCUGGUUGGAGGCGGGUUGGGUUGCGGGUGGUUGAGGGCCUGCUCGGCUUCCGGCGACCAUGUCCGUGCCGGCGAUAGCCGUGUACACCAGCCCGCCGGGCGCCGUCCACGCGCCGCCGGAGCACGACGCGAGCUCGCGCGGCCCGGCGCCGUGCGCGGCCGCGGCGCCCCCGUCGGCGGCGGGCUCGCACCGCCACGCGGGGGGCCUGUCCUGUCUCUUCUCCUCCCCGUCCGCGGCGCCGCGCGCCACGGCGCACGAGGAGCUCGGCGCGCUCUGGCACGACAGAUCCGACGAGCCGGCGCUCGCCCCGGCCGCCGGCUUCGGCGGCGGGGGCUACUCGUGCCCGCAGUCGUCGCCGUCCCCGUCGCCGUUCAAGCUGCGGGACCACCUCCAUCGCAGCCCGGCGUCGCUGUUCCACAGCCCGGCCUCCUCGCCGGCGUCCAGGAGCCCGUCCGUCUCGUGGCUCGCCGGCCGCGAGCGCGACCGGCUCUUCUCCAGCUUCGUGCGCAACGCGCUGGGCUCCUGCAUUGACUACGCGCCCGUCACCAGCCUGCCGCUGGGCGUCCCCGCGGCCGCUGGUGUCGACGCCGCCGAGCUGGCCUUUGAGCUUGACGAGAACCUCUCCGAGGCGGAGCCGUCCUGCGAACCGUAUGCUCAUGAACUCCUCGCCAGCGCUCAAGCUCGCCACCGUAUCUUCCGCGAUGAGCUUGUCGUCAAGGCCUUCUUCGAGGCCGAGAGGGCACACCGUGGUCAGAAGCGGGCUAGUGGUGAUCCAUACUUGCAGCAUUGUGUCGAAACUGCAGUGCAUCUGGCCAAAAUUGGCGCAAAUGCGACCGUCGUGUCUGCCGGCCUUCUCCAUGACACAAUUGAUGAUUCGUUCGUGGACUAUGAUGAUAUCUUCCAGAUGUUUGGCGCUGGUGUGGCCGAUCUUGUUGAAGGGGUCUCGAAGUUAAGCCAUUUGAGCAAACUUGCUCGGGACAACAAUACUGCAAGUAGGACUGUUGAAGCAGAUCGCCUGCAUACCAUGUUUCUUGCAAUGGCUGAUGCACGAGCUGUUCUGAUAAAGCUAGCAGAUCGUCUUCACAACAUGAAGACGAUAGAAGCUUUGCCUAUGGUUAAACAGCAAAGGUUUGCUAAAGAGACUAUGGAAAUAUUUGUGCCGUUGGCCAACAGAUUAGGAAUUGCUAGCUGGAAAGACCAGUUGGAAAAUAUUUGCUUCAAACACUUGAAUCCAGAGGAGCACAAGGAACUUUCCUCUAAGCUUGUGAUGUCUUUUGAUGAAGCGCUCCUUACGUCUACUCUUGAUAAAUUGGAUAAAGGUCUCAGAGAUGAAGGUAUUUCAUAUCACAGUCUUUCUGGGAGGCACAAGAGUCUGUACAGUAUAUACUCCAAGAUGAUAAAGAAGAACUUAACAAUGGAUGAUGUCCAUGACAUCCAUGGCCUGCGGCUUGUGGUUGAGACAGAGCAAGAUUGUUAUCGAGCGCUUGACAUUGUCCACAAACUGUGGCCUCGAGUCACUGGAAGAUUUAAAGACUAUAUAUCACAUCCAAAGCUGAAUGGGUACGCAGAACAAAAGUUUGAUCAACUUUUGAAAAACUCUACUGGAAUAUUUGCUAAUUUACUGCUUGCAGGUAUCGAUCGUUGCACACUGUCAUCAUGUGUGAGGGUGUCCAUCCAUUUGAGAUCCAGAUCCGAACAAAGGAAAUGCAUCUGCAGGCAGAAUAUGGAUUUGCUGCACACUGGAGGUACAAGGAAGGUGGUUGCAGACACUCCUUUGUUCUCCAAAUGGUGGAAUGGGCAAGGUGGGUGCUCACUUGGCAAUGCGAGGCAAUGAGCAAAGAGCGGCCCUCAGCUUUAGCCAGCUCUGUUGGGGUUAGGCCAACAUGUCCUUUUCCCCUUCAUUCUGAGGAUUGCCCUUAUUCUUACAGCCGGCAGUGUAACCAUGAAGGUCCCAUAUUUGUGAUCAUGCUUGAACAUGAUAAGAUGUCUGUCCAAGAGGUUCCGGCAAACUCGACUGUAGUUGAUCUAAUGGAGCGAGUCGGGGCCAACAGUCCAAGAUGGAGCCCCUACAGCUUCCCACUAAAAGAGGAGCUGCGACCGAGGGUUAACCACAAGCCCAUAUGCGAUCCGAACAGGAAGCUCAGCAUGGGUGAUGUGGUGGAGCUGACGCCUGCGCUCCCGCACAAGUCACUGAGCGAGUACCGGGAGGAGAUCCAGCGUAUGUACGAGCGUGGUGGGUUCGCCCUCGCCACCACACCGAGAAGAUGACACCGUCAUGCCCACCGUGUUAACAUGUUAUUGUACAAUACCCUGUAAAUACAAACUAACUUGCAGCAGAGAAAGCCCAGAUGAACAAAACCCCCAACUGAAAAUUUGCAAAUGGUUCGGGGUAUUGAUCCAGGACGCUGCUGUGUGUAACUCUUUACAAGUUGAUGAAUGAAAUAUCCAAAUGUGCCUCAGA